AAUUGAUACAGACUACUGACUGCUACAGUGCCUCUUAGUUUUCUUUAUUCAAAUGAAAGUGGUUUUGGUAAUUCUUUUCUCUCUGACUAAAUGGCACAAAACAAACCUUUACGAUGUUCAUGGAUUUUGUGGUCCAGGAAUUUCGGCUCAAGACAGUGGAGACAUCUUCUCUCUACUCAACAGUCUUUGGAACCUCAGCUAGACGACUUGAAGGCUAGGAACGAUUCUGGAAUGGCUCACCUUCUCACCUCCUGCUGGUCUCCACUCAAAUGUCACUUUUCAGGUGAAACUUUUCUUUCUUUCUUUUUUUUCUUCUUUUUUUUUUUUUUAAAGAUUUUAUUU
rnacentral:lncRNA from 1 species